AGGACGAACGCUGGCGGCGUGCCUAACACAUGCAAGUCGAACGAAGCAUAGUAAUAUGCUUAGUGGCGGACGGGUGAGUAACGCGUGAACAAUCUGCCCUAUACAAAGGAAUAGCCUCGGGAAACUGGGAUUAAAACCAUAUAACACUUUAGUACCGCAUGGUACAGAAGUCAAAUUGAUUAAGAGGUAUAGGAUGAGUUCGCGUCUGAUUAGCUAGUUGGUAAGGUAACGGCUUACCAAGGCGACGAUCAGUAGCCGGCCUGAGAGGGUGAACGGCCACACUGGAACUGAGACACGGUCCAGACUCCUACGGGAGGCAGCAGUGGGGAAUAUUGCACAAUGGAGGAAACUCUGAUGCAAGCGACGCCGCGUGAGUGAAGAAGGUCUUCGGAUCGUAAAACUCUGUCCUUGGUGAAGAUAAUGACGGUAGCCAAGGAGGAAGCCCCGGCUAACUACGUGCCAGCAGCAGC
rnacentral:rRNA from 1 species